GAAAACCAAUCUUUGUUCACAGUCACCCACCAUACACAAGAUCUGGCUCCAUGAUAGAAUACUUACUUGAGAAUAAGUUUUCAACCAGAACCUGAGAA